rnacentral:rRNA from 1 species
UGGGGAAUAUUGCACAAUGGGCGAAAGCCUGAUGCAGCAACGCCGCGUGAGUGAUGAAGGUCUUCGGAUUGUAAAGCUCUGUCUUUUGGGACGAUAAUGACGGUACCAAAGGAGGAAGCCACGGCUAACUACGUGCCAGCAGCCGCGGUAAUACGUAGGUGCGAGCGUUGUCCGGAUUUACUGGGCGUAAAGGGUGCGUAGGCGGAUGUUUAAGUGAGAUGUGAAAUACCCGGGCUUAACUUGGGUGCUGCAUUUCAAACUGGAUAUCUAGAGUGCAGGAGAGGAGAAUGGAAUUCCUAGUGUAGCGGUGAAAUGCGUAGAGAUUAGGAAGAACACCAGUGGCAAGGCGAUUCUCUGGACUGUAACUGACGCUGAGGCACGAAAGCGUGGGUAGNAACAGGAUUAGAUACCCUGGUAGUCCACGCGUAAACG